rnacentral:lncRNA from 1 species
AAAAGACUAGGAUAGCACCAAACCAAGUUUUUAUUCCCAAAGUAGUACUCAAGGCUCAAAGUCACAAAAAUAGGUUUCAUUAAAGAGGUAAAUAUACAUUUAUACCCUUUGGGUUAAUUAAUCCAAAUCUUAGGGUUUAGAGUUAAGGGGUGGGGUUUUGGAAUUAGGAUUUAAAAUUUUAUAAAAAAUAAAUAUUAAAAUAAAAAAUAAAAAUUAAAAAAAAAACAGUUUUAAAAAGUAUUUUUAAAUUAUAAAACGAAAAUUUGGAAAAAAAAAAUUCAAAAAAAAAUUUUCAAAAAAAAAUUAUAAAAAUUUCGAAUCUGAAAACAUAUAAUCUGAAACUAUAAAAAAUUCUUUUUUUCAUUUUUUUAUUUUUUUUAUUUUUAUUUAUUUUUAUUUUUGUUUAUUUAUUUAAUUUUAAACCAAGGGUAUUAAGGAUAUUUUACCCUUUAAUGAAUGUCAUUUUUGUGACUUUCUCCUUCUAAUGUCAUUUUUGUGACAUAAACUUCAAAAGGUGCUAUUAUUGACAAUUGCCCAUAUAUUAAUUUGCUUAAUAACUAAUUGCAAAUACAAGAAGAUAAAUAUUUAAUAAGAAGUGGUAAAUACAUACGGUUUAAAUAAUUAAUUAAUUAUAACAUAUAAAUUAUAAAAAUAUUGUAUUUGAAAUAGUUAUAUAAAUAUUUAAGUAUAUGAUUAACAUUAAAAAUAUAUACCACUUAUGUUCUAAAACAAUAAUUUAUGUAUAGAAAAGUGAAAACAAACACCCGUGCGGUUGCACGGAUCAAAAUCUAGUUUUAGUUUAAAACUCUUCUCGCCUCUGGGCACCGUGGUUUGUUAAAAGGCUUGAGCCCAUCUUUGUUCCCACCGAGCGAUAGCAGUCAGAAUCAAAACCUGAUUAAAUUUUCAUAUUAACAAACUUAUGUCAGCAUUAUGGUAACUAAUCAUUCCUGUUCAACUUCAUUAAUACUAAUCCAAAUGAAAGUGUUGUUACAACUCGUUUACAUAGUUACCCUAUCCUGUAACAGGUUCAAAAGUGAUGCAGAAUCUUCAAUUCAGCAUAUAUUUUUUGAACGGAUAAAACAACUAAGAAUAUUAGCAAAUAGCAUGUGCCACAACUCACUACAACUAACAAGCACGUUUAAGAAAAUAUAAAGUUAUUUCUGAAUUUUGUAACUAAAAUAAAUAGAUAAUAUAUGUGACAAAACAAGGGAUAAAACUCACUCUACUCCCUACCACUCAAACUUUCCGUUAAAUAAAAGUGAUUUUCUGUAAAAUUAAAUUAGAAACGCUUUUAUGUUCAAAAUUCAUUAAACCAUGAUAAUAAACACAGUUAAAAUAUCACUUAAUGUAAACAAAGUAACGAAACUAUUUUUUUUCCGGCAAACAAACAAAUUUCAUUAAUAUCAAAUCGUGAUUACAAAACAUUAACUAGAUAUCUAGAUAACUAAAAAGGUCUUAUUUGUUUAUAUCUUAAUUAAUAUAAAAUUGGUGAAAUUUAAUAAUUAUCAAAUUUAAAUAAGUAAAAUUUAAUUAAUAUUUUAAAUUUGUAAGUUUUUAAUUAGAUUUAUACUUUUGUACUUUAAACAUAUUAUUAUCAAAUAAAUAUAAUUCAAUAAUAUUAAUUUUACAUUUAUAUAUUUAAAAUAUUAAAUAAAUAAAAUUAUAAAUUUAUAUCUAUAUAUAUAUAUUAAAUUUCUAUAUCUAUCGAAAUCAAUCUGCGCACGUUUUAAGCAUAAUUGGUCCAACCGGUUCACCGUGAGUCUGAAUCUUCGUCAACAUUAACCCUAAUUUCAUUGUAGCGACCCCAAAAUCUCCACCAAGAAAAAAUCGGAAUCCUCUCGCGAAGAUCAAAUCCCCCUCGUAAAUCACCGGUGAAUUCAUCUGUUCCCUAUCUCGAUUGUUAUAUUCUUUAUCAGCAUGAGAUUAGGUUUCAAUCUAAAGGAGGAAUCUUUUUUUCUCAAUUUUAGGGGUUUUGCUAUCUUCUUUCCCAAAUCCAAAAUUGAAAUCUUCAAUGGAGAUUUCGACUAGAGGGUUUUGAAAAAAACAGGAAAAUUUUGAAUUUUUGCUUCUAUUGUUUCAUAUCUACGUGUUAGGGUUUCCGCAUGAACAGUGGUUUAGUGUUUUUAUUGCAAUUAGAGAUUUUAUUACAUGUGUUACAAUGAAAGAAACAAUGUUUGUUUUUAUUUUCUAACGAGGAAACAUGUUUUUAUUCUUCUUACCAGAUGCUUGUUUGGUCUCUUGACGUUUGAUUUUUUUUUUCUUGUGUGUUGCAGAACAGAGUUAACAUUGACCGUAGGCUGCGUUUCGAACCCGUGAUGGGUGCUCCUAAGCAGAAAUGGACUCAAGAAGAAGAGUCAGCUCUAAAGUCUGGAGUUGUCAAGCAUGGACCUGGUAAAUGGCGCACCAUUCUCAAAGACCCUGAGUUUAGUGGAGUCUUGUACCUCCGUUCCAAUGUUGAUCUUAAGGUCAUACUCUUCCUUCUUAUCUGUAUUUUCAUUUGUGAUUUUGUUCUUUAUCUGAUUUGGUUUGGUUCUAUUGUGUUGUGACAGGACAAAUGGAGAAAUAUGAGUGUCAUGGCCAAUGGGUGGGGAUCGCGUGAUAAGUCUAGGUUAGCUCUUAAAAGGACGCACUCGCUUCCUAAACAGGAUGAUAGCUCACUUGCUAAUACAAGCUCGUUGCAAAGUGAUGAAGACAUGGCUGAUGCUAAGCAUUUUUCCACCACCGGCACUUCUGCUCUGCAACUUCCUGCUACUCCUACUCCAAGGAGACCUAAUGUAAGGUCAGAUUUACCAUCUAUAUCUCUGUUUCGUUUAUCGAAUAGGAGAUGCUUUGUUGCAUAUCUCCAGAUGUAGGGGUUAUAUGCGUCAAGGUUACAUAUAUGGUUUUGCAUGAUUGUCCAGAUGCUGAUUAUCUUAGCACGUGAACUGUUUUGCUCCAAUUUAUAAUUGUGAAACUAUGAUGAGGGUCUAAGUGUUCAAAGUCAUACUUAUACGAUAGAUGUCUUGUAUCAUUUGAAUCCAUUGUUAUAGCCAGUUUGUAACUUUUUAAAAGUGUUGCAGGCUGGAUAGCCUUAUAAUGGAAGCAAUAUCUACCAUGAAAGAGCUUGGUGGUUCUAACAAAACAACAAUUGGUGCAUACAUUGAGGUAUAUUUUAGUUCUUAGCUCCUCUUUUUUCCAUAGUCAUUGUGUAUUUGGUCCUGACGCUUGCUUUAUUCGGUCGUAUAGGAACAAUAUCACGCUCCGCCAGACUUCAAACGGUUGCUGUCUACCAAGCUAAAGUACUUGACAGCUUGUGGUAAACUCAUCAAGGUAUCAUGUGCAUUAUAGUCUAUGUGCAAUCAAUUUGCUUCAUUAACGGCGACUUGUGAUGUUUUAUUGAUACGAAUUUUCUCAUUUACAGGCUAAACGCAGGUAUAGAAUUCCACACUCCACUCCUCUGUCUUCCCACAGGAGAAGACAUUUGGGAACACCGUCUGGAAAACAGAGUGUUCUUUCUUUGCCAUCACCUAUAACAGACAGAGAUGAAGUGACUGUUCAGACAAAGGCUCAGAUUGAUGCAGAGUUAGCCAGGAUGAAGACUAUGAACGCACAUGAGGCGCAAGCGGCUGCAGAACAGGCAGUUGAAGAGGCGGAAGCUGCCAUGGCGGCGGCUGAAGAAGCUGCAAAGGAAGCUGAGGCAGCAGAAGCCGAAGCAGAAGAAGCUCAAGCUUACGUUGAAGAAGCUUUAAAGACAGUGAAAGGAAGAAACAACUGCAAAAUGGUAAACACAUUCUCCUUUUAGUCACACAAAACAUGAUAAGAAAAUAGUUUUUAAUGGUCGUAAAAUUUGAUUCAACAGAUGGUCUGUACGUGAGGUUACAGAGAAGAAGGAGAAGAAGAAUGUGUUGCAGGUGGGGAGAGAGAGAGAAGCGUAGAAGUAGUUUUUGUGUAUUGAUGAUUCUCUACUUGGGAACUCUUUUUAGUUGUAAGCAGUAAUCUCAGAUGCUAUUGCUAUUGUAUUGUUCAUACUUUACAGCCAAAAUAAGUUGCAAAAACUGAAAACACAGAAAUGCUACAAACGCGGUGAAAAUAUUUUUGGUUUUGGGAGGCGAUGCAUCAACGGUGAAAAUUAAAAAACUGGAUAUAUACAAAGACUCAUGUUUCCAUACUUAUAUUAUGUUCUUCAUCAUUUUGUUCUUUGUGGUAGAUCUUGUUUCUUUCUCUCUUCCAUCAUCAGUACUUUUCGUUCUUUCUCUAUGUGCCUUGAUGAGAUUUUAAUCUCUAGUUGUCUCUGUGUUGCAGUUUUAAAACGAGGAACAACAUGUUCAGUGCAGUUUUUCGUGUAAAACUUGAUAAGAAAGGUGUCAACACCUGAAAAUAUUUUGAUGAACAUCGAGUUAACAUAUGAGUGAUUUUAUCACAUUUGGUUGUAUGUGUCUCGAGUUUAAACCCAUCUCUAAGGCGAAAAGUUAUUUUUUAUAUUGAAUUGAUAAUGAUUACCCCUCUCUCUUUUUUGCUCCAGUAUGAGCCACAUGUAUACUGUCCUAUUAAUAACAAGAGAGUCAAAGACACCUUUCCAAACAGCUGAUUAGUUAGAAUUUGAUAUUGUCUUUCGCAGUAACUAUAGUUUACAACAAGAGUUCCGUCACUUUUAAAUGAAGAACUAUCAAUGAUUGAAACCGGUAAAAACCAUCGCCAUCAUUUACUUCUAGAUAUGUCAAUUACCUUUUCAAAACUAUUCAACUGAUAAAAGUUUUGUCUUUUCAAAUCUAUUGAAAAAUACACAAAAAAAAAACAGUUAAAUAGUUUUAUUUAAAAUAAAUUGACAAUCAAACAAAUCAAAUGAUCAGAAGCAAACAAAUUAAAGAAAGAACAGCAAAUGAAUCAAAUAAACAGUUGUCACUGCCGUAGAAGGCUUGAAACUACAAAAAAAUCUCCUUAGACUUAAUAUAUGCUAUUUUUAUAUUGUAUUAGGAUUUAAACAAAGAUAUAUUGUAUUAGGAUUUAUUUCCUUAUUAUCCAUGAUUUAACUUUUUCAAUGAAACUGACUAAGGAUUACUUGUACCAAAAGUAAUCUUAUUAAGUUGAAUUUAACAUAUAAAAAUAAUACCACGAUGGAAUUAAUAUUUGAAAAAGAUAUGAUAUUUAUCACAUGCCAUACGCUUACGCGUUUCGUACUACUUACAACUCAAAAAAGAAAAAUUCCUUUAUUUUUUUUUUGGUUAAUCUUAUAUAUUAAAAGAGAAGUCACAACUUUAACUCAUGUGUGAUUUUUUAAAAAAUGGACCUAAUGGACCUAUUACUAGAAAAUCAUGUUACAUUUAAUUUAUAAUCUUAUCAUUAUUAUAGAUCUAAAUAACUCACUUUCUAGAUUAUAGGAACUAAAUAAUAUGUCUACUUCAUUAUAGGAAUUAAAUAAUUAUCAAUCUUUUCCAAGCCAAAAACAUGAUAUGAAAACAACCAAUUCAAUAAAAAAAAAUAUACAAUAAAAUUAUUAUGUUUUAACAAGUGAUAGACAUACCUCAUAUAUAUUAUACUAAUAUAUACCAAUGUAGAAUUAAAAAUAAACUAUUUCUAUAAAAAUAAAUGAAAAUAAACACCCGCGCGGUUGCGCGGGUCGAGAUCUAGUUGACAUUUAAAAGUUGCAAGAGAAUCUGCCUCUUUUAGUAAUGUUUCUUCUAUAACACUGUCACUCAUAGUCAUAAUAUGGAAAUACUAAAAGAAAUUACCUUUUUACUAUUACUAGAUUGAGUUCAGUAUAGAAUAUUUCGGGAUUUAAAGAAAAUCUAUUUACUUUUUUGACAGCUCACUUUCCAUAUUCCGUUUACUUCUAGUAACGAUAACAAUGGACAAGUUACACCGACUGAAAUUUUCUUCUACUAUAUAUACUUUAGUUAUACACUAAACCGACACUACAAAUCACGCGGAAGAUUUUGUCUUAACGAUAAAUACGGAACUAUGGAUCUACUAUUAUUUGAAGCUCUCAUGCAACUUCCACCAUCAACAAGAGACACCGUUGUAAAAGUGCUGGAUCAUGCAAGCCAAAACCACCCUACUGAUCAUGAUGAAGAUUAUCCAAAAAGAAUAUGCUUACGAGAAGAAGAAGAGUGUGCUACAGGCACAGUUUGUGUUGAGCCAAGAUUACAAAGUAGUGACUCUGAAGAAUAUUCUUCUUCUCGCUCUUCUAAGACGGUGACAGAAGAAGAGUGUGGACAGUGUUCAAUGGACGAUGAUGAUGAUGAUGAGACAACUUCUCCUUCUUCUUCAGAGACGGUGGAACAACGAAUGAUACUGUACAAGCCACAACAAGAAGAGUAUGAAGAAGACGACGUCGUUUCGACCGAGCUUACGUUGGGAAGUAGUAGCGCACAGCCAUCACGGCAACAAGAAGAACCUUCCUCUUCUUCACCGUCUGAAGAUGAUACAACGGCUCUCUUACUCGUCGAGCUAUGCCGCAUUAGGCCUAUGCAACUUCAAACACAAACUCAGACGCCACACAAGUUUGAUUCGUACAAGUGUGAUGUAUGUGGAAAAGAGUUUACUUCGUACCAAGCCUUAGGUGGACACAAGGCUAGCCACCGAGUUAAGCUGCAACAACCACUUGUUGAAAACGCAAACGCAGAAGCUGGAGGAAAAACGCGGCCCAGGAUGGCCCCAUCCGGUAAAAUACACAAGUGUUCUAUAUGUAACGUUGUGUUUCCUACGGGACAAGCUCUCGGUGGGCAUAAACGCCGUCACUACGAAGGUGUUCUAAGCGGUAACAAACGUAGUCACGACGAGGUUAUAGCUGGGGACAGGUCCAGUCCCAAUCAUGAGAGUGUUGAAACAAACAUGUCGGGUCGGAAGCAGAGUUUUGUAGGCGAUCACAAACGUAGUCACGACGAGGUCAUAGCGGGAGACAAGUCGAGUCCCAAACAUGAGAGUGAUGUAACAAAAAAUCCAGGUCGAAGUUUUAUAAGGUUGUUCGAUCUUAAUGAAUUUCCUUUGCAAGAGUUUGAUGAUAACAACAUGCAAGAAGUUGAUGAGUAUGAAAGUGCAAUUGUAGCGAACAAGACGCUACAAUUAAUAGAUCUGAUUUGAAGUGUUGAUUUUUUUUAUGUUCAUUCUUUUCGUUGACCAACCUAACAUAUGAUAUUUGUAGUUUAAGAUUUUUCACAUUUUUUUAAUUGUUUUGUUUAGCAUUAUUUUAACCUUUUUUUGUUACAAAAACAAAAUCACUUUACAAUUUCGAUACAAAUUAUAUUUACUUUCAAAUGAAAAUUAAUUGAAAAUUACAUUGAUUUUAUAAAUAAUUUUAUUUAUCUCAAAUACUAUUGGUCAAAGAGAUAAUUAGUAACAACUUACAUAUAUUAUCACUAUUUUUUUAAUAUGUAUUAAAAAUAUCAAAAUGACACUUAUUUAGAAACAUAAUGAAUACUCUCUCUCCCUCAGUCCCUAAAAGAUUGAUAUUCUAGUUUUUUCAUACAUUUUAAUAAAACACAUUAAAUUUAAAUAAAUUUUUAUGUUUAUCUUCUUUCCAUAAUUUUAAGCCAAUAAAAAAUCAAAUAGUGCAAUUAAAAUUUGAGAAAAAGACUAAAAUAGCACUAAACCAAGUUUAUGUUUCCAAAGUAGCACUCAAAGCUCAAAGUCACAAAAAUAGGUUUCAUUAAAGAGGUAAAUAUACACUUAUACCCCUUGGGUUAAUUAAUCCAAACCUUAGGGUUUAGAGUUAAGGGGUGGGUUUUUGGAAUUAGGGUUUAAAAUUUUAUAAAAAAAAAUACUAAAAUAAAAAAUAAAAAUUUUAAAAACAGUUUCAAAAAGUAUUUUUAAAUAUAAAAAGAAAAUUUGAAAAAAAAAUUUGAAAAAAAAAAUUAUAAAAAUUUCGAAUCUGAAAACAUAUAAUCUGAAACUACAAAAAAAAAUUCUUUUUUUCAUUUUUUUUAUUUUUAUUUUAUUUAUUUUUAUUUAUUUUUGUUUGUUUAUUUAAUUUUAAACCAAGGGUAUUAUGGAUAUUUUACGCUUUAAUGAAUGUCAUUUUUGUGACUUUCUCCUUCUAGUGCUAUUUUUGAGACAUAAACUUCAAAAUGUGCUAUUAUUG